UAUGCCUGUAUGUGUUGUCCUAUGUACCUGUGAUAUUUAGUGGAGUGCUACCUCAGGGACGUCACGGAAGUACUACGUCACGACCGGGUAAGUGGGUUAGCGAGAGGAGACCAUAACAUGGGAAAAAUGAAAUGCACCCGUGAUGAAUACGGAGAGACUAUAUAAGAAUAUACCGUAAUGGAAUAAAAGCACAGAUAGCUGACUGUGCUUUUACCUUGGGGCUAUAUGGUGGACCCAUAGACAGACCGGCCGACACAUGAACCAGAUCUGGUCAUUCCAGGACCAGAUACAUGUACGACACAGCGGCGGUACUUGGACCAUCAAAGUCAGAGGUCAAGCGGUUUCCUCAACAGGAAAUGGGCUGCUUUUAGUUUCACGAAGCAGGCCCACUACGACAGCCUAUAAUAAGGCUGGGUGUAUCAACACGUGGUACAUUUAUGGACAUUAUCCUGCGGGAUAGUAUGGCGCGUGGUUCAUAGCUGAUUCGGAGUAUUCGGAGAAACACGACAAGGAAGGAACACAUACGCGUUCAUGGCUGAGAUUGUAUGGACAUUUUAACUCAGAGGAACACAGCGAGGAAGUGACAGAACAUUUUAGGGUAUUCCCAGUAUUAGUGUAUGUGUUAGCGUGUGUGUGUGUGUGUGUGUGAGCAAGAUAUUAAAUCGUUUUGUAUCAUUUACUUAUCGAGUGUAAAUAAAGUUGUAUAUAUAUUUGUGUUAAA